rnacentral:rRNA from 1 species
AGGAUGAACGCUGGCGGCGUGCUUAACACAUGCAAGUCGAACGAUGAAGCCGGGAGCUUGCUCCUGGUGGAUUAGUGGCGAACGGGUGAGUAACACGUGAGUAACCUGCCCCAGACUCUGGGAUAAGCACUGGAAACGGUGUCUAAUACCGGAUACGAGCUUCAGCCGCAUGGCUAGGAGCUGGAAAGAUUUCGGCUGGGAUGGACUCGCGGCCUAUCAGGUAGUUGGUGAGGUAAAGGCUCACCAAGCCGACGACGGGUAGCCGGCCUGAGAGGGUGACCGGCCACACUGGGACUGAGACACGGCCCAGACUCCUACGGGAGGCAGCAGUGGGAAUAUUGCACAAUGGGCGAAAGCCUGAUGCAGCAACGCCGCGGUAAGGGACGAAGGCCGUUUACGGGUUACGUUAAACCCCGUUUUAGGUAACGGUAAGAAGUCGAAAGGUUCGAACGGUACCUGACCAGAAAACGCACCGGACUAACGUACGUGCCAGCAAGCCGAC